UGCAGGUUCUACAAACAAAGAAGAGAAAUUGCACGCAAGUUAUUUCCAGAUUGACAGCAAGUUUCAAAUGGCCGGCUUUGGACAGCCAAUCCGUGAGUGUUCCGCGGGAUCAGCAGGUGGAAGGCACAGAGCCAAUAACUGUUGGGAUCAAAAGCCUCAGAUAUUCAGGGAUUUUAUAAGAUUCAUCUGAUGCUAAUGAUAGUACUGCCACGUGCAGGACUGCAGUGCCAGAUAAACUGAAAGUUUGAGUUCCACCAGGUACAAUAUCCUGUACUUUCUGAAUGGAUGAUACACAGCUCCAGUUCAAUACAAGUGCCAAUGCACACACACUGGAGACAUUAUCCUGAAGCUACCCUUUACCAGCAAUUGUUUACGCAAGAAAGCCCCUCCCGCCAGAGGUCAGUUUACCUGUUGUAGCAAAUCUGGGCUCAGCCACGGCAAUAUUUUAACACUGUAUUUCGGGAAAUCAUGAACCACCUUUAGCCUCUUCCCAUGGCUGAUCAUGCUGAAAAUACUGCGGAGUCCUGAUAAAUAAACUUGUCCAUCCACUGA